rnacentral:rRNA from 1 species
ACCCCCUGAAUUUAAGCAUAUAAUUAAGGGGAGGAAAAGAAACCAACUCGGAUUCCCCUAGUAACGGCGAGUGAAGCGGGAAGAGCUCAUGUUGUAAAUCUCCAGCUUGCUGGCGAAUUGUAGUCUAAAGGUGCGUGCUCAGUUGUGGUCCCGGGCUAAGUCUGUUGGAAAACAGCAUCAUGGACGGUGACAAUCCGGUUCUUGCCUGGGGUCCCGCGGCGUACGAGCCGUUUCCGACGAGUCGUGUUGCUUGGGAUUGCAGCACUAAGUGGGUGGUAAAUUCCAUCUAAAGCUAAAUAUUGGUGGGAGACCGAUAGCGAACAAGUACCGUGAGGGAAAGAUGAAAAGACUUUUGAAAAGAGAGUAAAAUAGUACCUGAAACUGCUGAAAGGGAAGCGAUUGAAGUCAGUGUUGCUCCUGGUCUUUUUGCCGUCGCCCCCGUGGGGGUUGCGGCGUGGGGCCUGGAGCGUUUCAACAUGCGUUCUGUUCCGCGGGAAAUGUUCAGUGUGCUGGAACCUUCGGGGAAACGCACUGUUCUUGUCGUGGUUAGGACGGAGGACCUUUGCUCCUUUGACUGCGCGUUCCUCUCUCGGGUAUGCUGGUGUCUACUGCUUGCAGUUUUCAUUUUCAUGCUUGCGACUGUGCGUGUUAUUCAUGAGCGAACAUGAUGUUGAAGAAAUGGCUUUAAUUACCCCGUCUUGAAACACGGACCAAGGAGUCUAA